CCACACUGGGCCAACCCCGGGAAGGGACCAGGAGGACCACGGGCCAGGUCUUGCUUCAUCUUUUGUACCGACUGCAAGUGGAGUCUCACCUCCAGGCACAGAGAGCCUGUUGACUGAAACUAAUCCAAUGGAUCCAAGCCAACUGCAAAGGAGACAGGGAAAUGUGGGAGAGCACACAGAAUCUGGCUGAGCAAACUGCCACAAUUCCUGUGAAAACCUUCCUGCUCCAAAGCAGAGAUCCCUGUGCUUGAAGUGGGAGUGCUGUCAGCAGGUAUAGGAACCACCCCCCACCCCCGAGGCAACAGGUAAAUGUAGAGGAAGGCUGAAG
rnacentral:lncRNA from 13 species